rnacentral:rRNA from 1 species
AGGAUGAACGCUAGCGGCAGGCUUAAUACAUGCAAGUCGAGGGGCAGCAGGGGUAGCAAUACUCGCUGGCGACCGGCAAACGGGUGCGGAACACGUACGCAACCUUCCCAAAACUGGUGAAUAGCCCUCCGAAAGGAGGAUUAAUACACCGUAAGAUGAUGAAGUGGCAUCACUUUAUAUUAUAGCUCGGCGGUUUUGGAUGGGCUGCGCCUGAUUAGGUAGUUGGCGGGUAACGCCCACAAGCCUGCGAUCAGUAACUGGUGUGAGAGCACGACCAGUCACACGGGCACUGAGACACGGGCCCGACUCCGUACGGGAGCAGCAGGUAAGGAACUAGUUGGUCAAGUGGACGCGAAGUCUAGAACCAGCCAUCGCCGCGUAGAACGGUAUCGGACGGUCCCUGUAGGGUUACUAAACUUCGUUAGUA